rnacentral:rRNA from 1 species
CCAGACUCCUACGGGAGGCAGCAGUGGGGAAUAUUGCACAAUGGGCGCAAGCCUGAUGCAGCGACGCCGCGUGGGGGAUGACGGCCUUCGGGUUGUAAACUCCUUUCGCUAGGGACGAAGCUUUUUGUGACGGUACCUAGAUAAGAAGCACCGGCUAACUACGUGCCAGCAGCCGCGGUAAUACGUAGGGUGCGAGCGUUGUCCGGAAUUACUGGGCGUAAAGGGCUCGUAGGUGGUUUGUCGCGUCGUCUGUGAAAUUCCGGGGCUUAACUCCGGGCGUGCAGGCGAUACGGGCAUAACUUGAGUACUGUAGGGGUAACUGGAAUUCCUGGUGUAGCGGUGAAAUGCGCAGAUAUCAGGAGGAACACCGAUGGCGAAGGCAGGUUACUGGGCAGUUACUGACGCUGAGGAGCGAAAGCAUGGGUAGCGAACAGGAUUAGAUACCCUGGUAGUCCAUGCCGUAAACGGUGGGCGCUAGGUGUGAGGGUCUUUUCACGACUUUCGUGCCGUAGCUAACGCAUUAAGCGCCCCGCCUGGGGAGUACGGCCGCAAGGCUAAAACUCAAAGGAAUUGACGGGGGCCCGCACAAGCGGCGGAGCAUGUGGAUUAAUUCGAUGCAACGCGAAGAACCUUACCUGGGCUUGACAUACACCGGAUCGGGCUAGAGAUAGUCUUUCCCUUUGUGGCUGGUGUACAGGUGGUGCAUGGUUGUCGUCAGCUCGUGUCGUGAGAUGUUGGGUUAAGUCCCGCAACGAGCGCAACCCUUGUCUUAUGUUGCCAGCAUUUGGUUGGGGACUCAUGAGAGACUGCCGGGGUCAACUCGGAGGAAGGUGGGGAUGACGUCAAAUCAUCAUGCCCCUUAUGUCCAGGGCUUCACACAUGCUACAAUGGUCGGUACAACGCGCAGCGACACUGUGAGGUGGAGCGAAUCGCUGAAAGCCGGCCUUAGUUCGGAUUGGGGUCUGCAACUCGACCCCAUGAAGUCGGAGUCGCUAGUAAUCGCAGAUCAGCAACGCUGCGGUGAAUACGUUCCCGGGCCUUGUACACACCGCCCGUCACGUCAUGAAAGUUGGUAACACCCGAAGCCGGUGGCCCAAACUUGUUAGGGAGCCGUCGAAGGUGGGAUCGGCGAUUGGGACGAAGUCGUAACAAGGUACCCGUACCGGAAGGUGCGGGUG